GUUCAGUCUCGGUAAGAGUGGUGAGGAAGCUGCGGGAGAGACGAGCUACAGGAGCCUCUUGCCUAGCCGAGAUUUGCCAUGCUGAAAUCUGCAAUGUGCAAGUGUCUAACUUGCACGGAGACUGGCCAGGUUCUGGAUUGAUGGCAAGCUAAGGAGCAGGCCUAUAGCCUACAGCUGGACAAGACCGCAACUGAUUACCCUCCCCCUUCUGCCAGGCCAGUAGGGGGCUCCCUGUAGCCCACAAUGAACUUUCACCUCACUCGCUGCCCCUUGCCCUCCACACACACACACAUUCUGCCCCACACACUCUCUCACCCAUGCAUCCCCCUGGACUCAAUUUUAACCCAGACACGGGUUCUUCAUGAACUGUGGGUGGGCAGCCGGGUUGUGAACUGUGUUCAGUGAGCAGACCAUUUGGGUUUUUUUGUCAUGUCUGAAUUGUCAUUGACUCCAUAUGAUUGAACAGGUAGCUACAAGAGUCAUUUGGACUGGCCAUCUGAAAUUAGUAUUCACAAAUUUUCCACAGUACACAUUUAGCA